rnacentral:rRNA from 1 species
UGGGGAAUAUUGGACAAUGGGGAGGACCCUGAUCCAGCCAUGCCGCGUGUGUGAAGAAGGCCUUAUGGUUGUAAAGCACUUUAAGCGAGGAGGAGGCUCUUUUGGUUAAUACCCAAGAUGAGUGGACGUUACUCGCAGAAUAAGCACCGGCUAACUCUGUGCCAGCAGCCGCGGUAAUACAGAGGGUGCGAGCGUUAAUCGGAUUUACUGGGCGUAAAGCGUGCGUAGGCGGCUUUUAAGUCGGAUGUGAAAUCCCCGAGCUUAACUUGGGAAUUGCAUUCGAUACUGGGAAGCUAGAGUAUGGGAGAGGAUGGUAGAAUUCCAGGUGUAGCGGUGAAAUGCGUAGAGAUCUGGAGGAAUACCGAUGGCGAAGGCAGCCAUCUGGCCUAAUACUGACGCUGAGGUACGAAAGCAUGGGAGCAACA